rnacentral:rRNA from 1 species
UACAGAGGGUGCAAGCGUUGCUCGGAAUCAUUGGGCGUAAAGGGUAGGUAGGUGGUCUCGUUUGUCUGGGGUGAAAGCCCAGGGCUUAACCCUGGAAGUGCCCCAGAAACGGCGAGACUAGAGUACUGGAGAGGGUCGUGGAAUUCCCGGUGUAGCGGUGAAAUGCGUAGAGAUCGGGAGGAACACCAGAGGCGAAGGCGGCGACCUGGACAGUUACUGACACUCAACUACGAAAGCGUGGGGAGCAAACAGG